rnacentral:piRNA from 1 species
AACCAUAGUUGGCUUAAAAGCAG